CACAGUGAUGUCAGCACCUUGGUGAGCACCCUGAGGUGGUUAUCGGGAUGGGGUCAGAUGAUCCCUAAUUACACCUGCCAGGCACAGAACAAGAAUGUGGCUGUCACUGCAGGAACCACACCAGCAUUCUCUGCCCACAUUGGGACACUGUUGGAGCUCUACAAAAUACCACAGAGAACUCAAUAUGGAACACUUUUUCUCUUUUGAUUCAGACAACCUAUGGAGAUUUUGAUCCUGUACUGAAAGGUUGCAAGUAAACCUCUAAUGAUUGUAGGGUCUAAUUAGCAACAGUGUCAACUCUUUUAACUAGAAAUAAUUGAUUAAAAACUUUCACUGUGAGAGGUAGGAAGAAGCAGGCUGUCUUUCUUUGUCUCUUCUUGAGCUCGAGGAAACUCCCUAGCACCCCUAAAGCAAACCUCAUUGCUCAAGGUGCAGCUCAGGUUUAGCCCCACAGCACUCCCUGGACGUGGAAUCUUCAGGAAUGGUUUAAACCUCACCAUGUGCUCUCUGAGGGCAGACAAGAAUGCCUGCUUCCUUAAGCGUGCAGAAUAGUAAACACUCCCCAAAUUGAACUUAUUCAGAGGAUGACUAAUAUAGAGGGGAAAAAAUCUAAUUGCUGGGCAACUCAGUAUCCCCACCAGUUCGAAUCUGGGUUUUCUGCCUUCAAUUUCCAUGCUCAUUUCAUUUCCCAAUUAUGUCUCCCUUUUAGCUCCACCCAUUCCUAAGAAACACCCAAUUUAAAAAAAGCACUGGAGCUCACGUGUCACUGGAUGAGAAAAGAAACUCUGUGUCACAGCAUGUAAUUCUGAACUAUAUGAUUUUCCUAAAGGUCUUGGACUUCAGGUGAAAGACGUUCUGUCAGCCAGGAUUCAGGAACAUCCCUCAGGAAGAGAGAGCUACCUGCUGCUUUGUCUGUGUAUUGUGCCCAGAGAGAGAAAUAUGUAAUCAGACAGAAAAGAAAAGUGUCUGUGGGGCUCAAGUUUGAGUUGAAACCAGGCUCAGGGUCCACCUGUCCUCGCUGAUCCGUGGAUUUCUGUGUGACCAGGCCUGGAUGAUGGCUGUGGAGUAGGAAAGAAGUAGAAAGAAAAGACCUUGGAGUGUAGAACCGCGAGAAGGUAACGGUACUUUCUUGCCUGGAUGUGUCAGAUGGCACAGGGCAGUGACUGUGCUCCUUGCUGCUGUCCGUGCAGACCUGCAGGCGCCCCCUCACCCAGGUCUGUGUGUUCACCCCACUUAGCCACUCACAGGCCUCCCUCCACAUCUUAAAGGAAGUCAGGCCUUACUUGUGAGGGGGUUGUCUCAGACGGGAGACACCGAGGAGAGCCCCUCCAGGCAUCAGAGCAGCCCCUUCAGCCUCUCCCUCAGGCUCCUCCCCCUCCACUCUCUCGCUUUCCACCCUCAGAAGGACCCCUGCUCAAUAUUCCACGUCCCCAUGUUCUUCCUCCCUCAGGCUUGAGAAGGGUGGGCAGCCAGUGGGGUGGACAUUGUCUGUACCUUCCACUCUGACCCCCGCAGGUCCUGGGCUGGACAGAGAGCAACUCUACUGGGAGCUGAGCCAUGAGAGCCAGGGCGUCCCCCACCUGGGCUCCUU